rnacentral:rRNA from 1 species
GACGAACGCUGGCGGCGUGCUUAACACAUGCAAGUCGAACGGAAAGGCCCUGCUUUUGUGGGGUGCUCGAGUGGCGAACGGGUGAGUAACACGUGAGUAACCUGCCCUUUACUUUGGGAUAACUUCAGGAAACUGGGGCUAAUACCGGAUAGGAGCUCCUGCUGCAUGGUGGGGGUUGGAAAGUUUCGGCGGUUGGGGAUGGACUCGCGGCUUAUCAGCUUGUUGGUGGGGUAGUGGCUUACCAAGGCUUUGACGGGUAGCCGGCCUGAGAGGGUGACCGGCCACAUUGGGACUGAGAUACGGCCCAGAGUCCUACGGGAGGCAGCAGUGGGGAAUAUUGCACAAUGGGCGGAAGCCUGAUGCAGCAACGCCGCGUGCGGGAUGACGGCCUUCGGGUUGUAAACCGCUUUCGCCUGUGACGAAGCGUGAGUGACGGUAAUGGGUAAAGAAGCACCGGCUAACUACGUG